rnacentral:rRNA from 1 species
GCCCUGGCAGUCAGAGGCGAUGAAGGACGUGCUAAUCUGCGAUAAGCGUCGGUAAGGUGAUAUGAACCGUUAUAACCGGCGAUUUCCGAAUGGGGAAACCCAGUGUGAUUCGUCACACUAUCAUUAACUGAAUCCAUAGGUUAAUGAGGCGAACCGGGGGAACUGAAACAUCUAAGUACCCCGAGGAAAAGAAAUCAACCGAGAUUCCCCCAGUAGCGGCGAGCGAACGGGGAGGAGCCCAGAGCCUGAAUCAGUGUGUGUGUUAGUGGAAGCGUCUGGAAAGGCGCGCGAUACAGGGUGACAGCCCCGUACACAAAAAUGCACAUGCUGUGAGCUCGAUGAGUAGGGCGGGACACGUGGUAUCCUGUCUGAAUAUGGGGGGACCAUCCUCCAAGGCUAAAUACUCCUGACUGACCGAUAGUGAACCAGUACCGUGAGGGAAAGGCGAAAAGAACCCCGGCGAGGGGAGUGAAAAAGAACCUGAAACCGUGUACGUACAAGCAGUGGGAGCCUCUUUAUGGGGUGACUGCGUACCUUUUGUAUAAUGGGUCAGCGACUUAUAUUCUGUAGCAAGGUUAACCGAAUAGGGGAGCCGAAGGGAAACCGAGUCUUAACUGGGCGUUAAGUUGCAGGGUAUAGACCCGAAACCCGGUGAUCUAGCCAUGGGCAGGUUGAAGGUUGGGUAACACUAACUGGAGGACCGAACCGACUAAUGUUGAAAAAUUAGCGGAUGACUUGUGGCUGGGGGUGAAAGGCCAAUCAAACCGGGAGAUAGCUGGUUCUCCCCGAAAGCUAUUUAGGUAGCGCCUCGUGAAUUCAUCUCCGGGGGUAGAGCACUGUUUCGGCAAGGGGGUCAUCCCGACUUACCAACCCGAUGCAAACUGCGAAUACCGGAGAAUGUUAUCACGGGAGACACACGGCGGGUGCUAACGUCCGUCGUGAAGAGGGAAACAACCCAGACCGCCAGCUAAGGUCCCAAAGUCAUGGUUAAGUGGGAAACGAUGUGGGAAGGCCCAGACAGCCAGGAUGUUGGCUUAGAAGCAGCCAUCAUUUAAAGAAAGCGUAAUAGCUCACUGGUCGAGUCGGCCUGCGCGGAAGAUGUAACGGGGCUAAACCAUG